GGGAAUGUGGCUUAGUGGUAGAGUGCUUGCCUAACAUGCAUGAAGCCUGGGUUCAAUUCCUCAGUACCA
rnacentral:tRNA from 1 species